AUGGACUUUCGGGUGCAGAUUUUCAGCUUCCUGCUAAUCAGUGUCACAGUGUCCAGAGGAGAAAUUGUGCUCACUCAGUCUCCAGCCAUCACAGCUGCAUCUCUGGGGCAAAAGGUCACCAUCACCUGCAGUGCCAGCUCAAGUGUAAGUUACAUGCACUGGUACCAGCAGAAGUCAGGCACCUCCCCCAAACCAUGGAUUUAUGAAAUAUCCAAACUGGCUUCUGGAGUCCCAGCUCGCUUCAGUGGCAGUGGGUCUGGGACCUCUUACUCUCUCACAAUCAGCAGCAUGGAGGCUGAAGAUGCUGCCAUUUAUUACUGCCAGCAGUGGAAUUAUCCUCUUA